GACGAACGCUGGCGGCGUGCUUAACACAUGCAAGUCGAACGGAAAGGCCCUGCUUUUGUGGGGUGCUCGAGUGGCGAACGGGUGAGUAACACGUGAGUAACCUGCCCUUGACUUUGGGAUAACUUCAGGAAACUGGGGCUAAUACCGGAUAGGAGCUCCUGCUGCAUGGUGGGGGUUGGAAAGUUUCGGCGGUUGGGGAUGGACUCGCGGCUUAUCAGCUUGUUGGUGGGGUAGUGGCUUACCAAGGCUUUGACGGGUAGCCGGCCUGAGAGGGUGACCGGCCACAUGGGGACUGAGGUACGGCGCAGAGUGCUACGGGAGGCAGCAGGGGGGAAUAUUGCACAAUGGGCGGAAGCCUGAUGCAGCAACGCCGCGUGCGUGAUGACGGCCUUCGGGUUGUAAACCGCUUUAGCCUGUGACGAAGCGGGAGUGACGGUAAUGGGUAAAGAAGCACCGGCUAACUACGUG
rnacentral:rRNA from 1 species